rnacentral:rRNA from 1 species
ACUCCGUACGGGAGGCAGCAGUAGGGAAUCUUCCACAAUGGGCGCAAGCCUGAUGGAGCAACACCGCGUGAGUGAAGAAGGGUUUCGGCUCGUAAAGCUCUGUUGUUAAAGAAGAACACGUAUGAGAGUAACUGUUCAUACGUUGACGGUAUUUAACCAGAAAGUCACGGCUAACUACGUGCCAGCAGCCGCGGUAAUACGUAGGUGGCAAGCGUUAUCCGGAUUUAUUGGGGCGUAAAGAGAGUGCAGGCGGUUUUCUAAGUCUGAUGUGAAAGCCUUCGGCUUAACCGGAGAAGUGCAUCGGAAACUGGAUAACUUGAGUGCAGAAGAGGGUAGUGGAACUCCAUGUGUAGCGGUGGAAUGCGUAGAUAUAUGGAAGAACACCAGUGGCGAAGGCGGCUACCUGGUCUGCAACUGACGCUGAGACUCGAAAGCAUGGGUAGCGAACAGGAUUAGAUACCCUGGUAGGAUAGCG